GUGGGGAAUUUUGGACAAUGGGCGAAAGCCUGAUCCAGCCAUGCCGCGUGUGUGAAGAAGGUCUUCGGAUUGUAAAGCACUUUAAGUUGGGAGGAAGGGCAGUAAGUUAAUACCUUGCUGUUUUGACGUUACCGACAGAAUAAGCACCGGCUAACUUCGUGCCAGCAGCCGCGGUAAUACGAAGGGUGCAAGCGUUAAUCGGAAUUACUGGGCGUAAAGCGCGCGUAGGUGGUUUUGUAAGUUGGAGGUGAAAUCCCCGGGCUCAACCUGGGAACUGCCUCCAAAACUGCAUGACUAGAGUACGGUAGAGGGUAGUGGAAUUUCCUGUGUAGCGGUGAAAUGCGUAGAUAUAGGAAGGAACACCAGUGGCGAAGGCGACUACCUGGACUGAUACUGACACUGAGGUGCGAAAGCGUGGGGAGCAAACAGGAUUAGAUACCCGAGUAGUCC
rnacentral:rRNA from 1 species